AAAUAGUUCCGGUAGGUAAGGUUACCACAGGGAUACGGAUUGUUGCCGCGAAAUGAUGGAGACAUCAUCAGUUGGUUUGAACAGGCCGCAUCGAAAAACAAGGUGCAGCAUAAUACAAUUUCAUCGCCCUGUGAUACUAAAGCUCAAACGGUGGCAGUUCCAU
rfam:Robinsoniella sp. RHS robin_c33, whole genome shotgun sequence.